CAACUACUCCCUCUGUCCCAAAUUUCUUGUCUUAGAUUUGUCUAGAUACGGAUGUAUCUAAUACUAAAAUGUGACUUGAUACAUCUGUAUCUAGAAAAAUCUAAGACAAGAAUUUUGGGAUGGAGGGAGUACUUU
rnacentral:pre_miRNA from 1 species